ensembl:lncRNA
GGCUGUUGCAACUUCACAUAUGGUGCUCUGCUUGACCACUUGCUCUGCAAGUUCUGCGAGAAGGCUGCAUUUGUUUCAGACCUGCCAGAGUGUCUGGGACAGCAGUCCUACAAACAACUCCUUGUUUUCCCGUUUCCUUGACCCUAUUGCCAGGCCAAGGCAAAGGGUCUGCCAUGGGCGGCUGCAUGUAAUUUCAUAGGCUGUGCAUCUGAAGUUGACCUCUGCUAUCUGUUUCCUUGUCAUCUCAAACAAGGGAUAAUGCUCUCCUGGGAACAGUUUCACCUCGAAGAGACAGGCAGCUCCUCAAAACAAUAUGGUUAAUCUUCAAGAAUUUGUCUGCCAGCUGUCUUCCAGGAAGCAGAAUCAAGGAAUGGCCUGGUUAUCAAGGGUGGCUGGCUGGAGACCUCCUCUGCCUUCUCCUCUACCAUUGUCACUCUUGCUAUGAUUUACUUAAGGUAUGUUCUGAACCAGUGGAACAAAUGUUCUGUGCUCUCAAAGGCAAAAACUGCCUUGGAAACCAAAGUCAAACCCAAAGAAGGGAAGUGAUGGCCACUCAUUUUGUUACAAACCUCCACCUCAUUUCUGGAGUCCUGUCUGAGAUUUUCAAAUAUAUGGACUUUACAGGACAAAACAGAGGGGAAUGGCAGAGAGGAACAGCUGAGAACAAGAAAGGAGUUUUCCUGUGUUCUUUGAGAAGAUCAGACAAAAGGCAAUAUUGAUAUCAAUGACAAAGUUUGUAAUGACUUCACUAGGUCCAGGAUUUUAACACAGAAUAGUGAAAAACAGAAAUGAACAGAAAUGAGCAAUGUAGUGCACUGUCAUCCUUGAGAUCUGAAAGGUCACUUUUGAUAUGAAUGUUGGACAUCAUCAGAGCAUUACUUUGGAAGUGAAGGGUGCUAUAUGAUGUUGAAUCCACAUGAUUGGAUUUUUUUGUUUUGGUUGAUUUGCAUUUUGUUCGCAAUAACAUGAGAAAUGGAGAAGUGAAUUUGUAAACAUCUCUUCCCUAUUAUCAGACUGUAUUGCUAAGAUGUAUUUAAAAAUUGGGCUUUCUGGUUUCAACGUCUCUGCUGUGUGACAGUCUAGUCCGUAUUUACUCCAGGUUACUGAACACUGAACCAAGAAAUUUCUAAAGGAACAUUUCAGCCACCUUUUGAUGAUCACCAUUCCUUUCAAGCAGUUUCUGCUGGAUAUUAAUCUACUGAAACACCAUCUUGGAUCAGCCAUGUCUGAAGUCUUUUGAUUUUCUCCGGUAGAUGUAUGGAUAUUGAUCAUGUUUGCAAGAAUUUAUUUUUACUCUACCUUUUUUUUCACCUUUCUCUAUGGUUUCUGUCACAAAAAGGGAAAGAAUUAGCUCUGUGUUCACUGGAUAAAAUUUGAAUGUUAGCUUGCUGAGACCUACCAUGCAAAGCUGGCAAUUGCAUCUUUUACCCAAACUCCUGAUAGUUCCCACAGGCUUCUAGAUGAAGGGCCUUAUUCAAAGCAUUCUACCCAUUAAAUUGACAACACUGCCUCUCUCUGUGCAUUAACUAUUGGCCUAGCUUUCCUUCCUUCUACUUCCCUACGCAAUUUCUUCUAUCCUAUCUGUUGCUGUAAGGGGCACACAUACAACUGUAAAGGUUCAGAUGAUGUAUCUUCAAUUUGCGUAACUUAACAGUUAAGAUGUGAUGACUUUUGUAGUUGCCAUGCUGCUAGUUUGAUUGUCUGACAGGACUCAUGAUUAGAAGAUCAUGUAUAGGUGGAGAUAUUAUUUUGUAGUACUAGUGCAGACAGAAUUGGAAGCUACUCUGAAGAGGUAUUUUGGAGAGUACAUGUGAAAUGUCAAGUUGAAGGAACUUGACAAGAGGACAAGAAUCUAAAAUGAUUUUAUUAGACUCUAUGUGUGAUAUCACUACAUGAAGGGAG